UACGUAGGCAGCGAGCGUUGUUCGGAAUUACUGGGCGUAAAGAGUGUGUAGGCGGUGCUCUAAGUUCGGUGUGAAAUCUCCCGGCUUAACUGGGAGGGUGCGCUACAAACUGUCUGACUAGAGUGUGGGAUGGGUAAGUGGAAUUCCUGGUGUAGCGGUGAAAUGCGUAGAUAUCAGGAGGAACACCGGUGGUGUAGACGGCUUACUGGACCAUAACUGACGCUGAGGCACGAAAGCGUGGGUAGCAAACAGG
rnacentral:rRNA from 1 species